rnacentral:rRNA from 1 species
UACAGAGGUUGCAAGCGGUAAUCGGAAUUACUGGGCGUAAAGCGUGCGUAGGUGGUUUGUUAAGUCAGGCGUGAAAUCCCUGGGCUCAACCUGGGAACUGCGUUUGAUACUGGCAGACUCGAGUGUGGUAGAGGGUAGUGGAAUUCCGCAUGUAGCAGUGAAAUGCGUAGAUAUGCGGAGGAACACCAGUGGCGAAGGCGGCUACCUGGACCAACACUGACACUGAGGCACGAAGGCGUGGGGAGCAAACAGG